ensembl:lncRNA
UGUUCUUAGAAGUAUUUUCCAACCUUAAUGAUACUAUGAUUCUAUGUUUCUAUGAUUCCUGGGGAGGGAAUAGCCAGUCUCACCAAACAAAGGAAUUCUACUGUUUCUCCUGUAGCUUCUCCAGCGUAUUUCCCUAAUGGAGAGUUUAGAAAAACCUGACCCCUAGUCAUACCGUGCCACUAAUGCUGCAGCUCCAAGCUUGUGGAACCUGAGGUGGAGCAAGCAAGUGCCAGUAAGAGAAACAUUCCAGGGAAGGAAGAAAUUACCAGAAGAUUGUCCCCAGUAACACUGGAACUAAACUGUGGAUGUGGAAUAUUGUAAGAUUUUGAGGAUUUAUUUGAAACAGACAAACAAAAAUCCUCUACGUCAUGUGGAAGUCCUUCAAAUGGAAAUCCUGCCUUGGUAAAGACAAAUGAAAGAGCAUGAACGAUGAAAUACUUGCAAUAUAAAGAAAUAUAAAGAAAAUAUUAUGAUAUAUAGUCUGUUUUUCUUGUGGAUUUUCAGCACCAAUAACGACUUGAAUAUUUUUUCCAGGUUAAAGUAACUGAAGUGGCCAAAAGUGGCUAAAGUGACUCCUCAGCACCUGGACUGAAGCUACUUGGAAUCUCUUUUGCCAGCAGCACAAGCAGAGCCUGCUUGAGAGUAGCAGCACCUAAAAAAGCUUAUCUGCAUGCAGCUCUCCUGAAUUCAAUCAAAUUCAUCUGAACUAUUUCAAAUUCCACUGGAGGAGGAGACAGGAGGAUUUAGUAGACAUUGCCUGCUGAGAAGAAACAAGGGGCGAUAACUCAGGGAAAGCCUAAAAGAGUAGGACCUGUCAUGCAGCCUCCUUAACUAUGUCGUUCCUAACUGCAUUUGUUACAGUCUUAGCCAUGAUCUUGCCCAAUCCCAGCUGCGUACACCUGUGUGCUCACUUAGAGCCCGUUUUUUGCACCUAUGUGAAGCCUACUCAGAUUUUGAAUACGUAUGAGUUUUGCAACAAUUUACAUUUUCUGUAUUGGUGUAACUUUAGAUAUUUAGUUUCAGCUCUGGCUCAACAUAGUACAUCAGACGUUUUAAAGAUAUAUUUUUUUUUUCCAUAAGAGGAAAAGUAAUUUUAAAGUUGGGUAAAGACAAGGGGAGGUAAGGUGAUAUGGGCCGGUUUGUUUAGCAAUAGGGAUCUGUUUAUUAGUUUAAGGACCAACAUAUUAGUUUAGCAAAAGGAAUCAAUGAAUGCUAAUUCUAAAACUUUCCUUUUCGCUUUUCUUGGUGUGUGAGCAGCCCUGUUUUCUCUUAAUUCUGCUUCACAAGAAGCACCAGAGACAUAAUAGACUGCUUAUCUUUGCAUUUCAUGAGGUGCUAGGAUGUUUUCCUCAUAUUUUCACAUAUAUGGUUUUGGAAAUUGCUGAUUAUGGGUUAACAACCAAUAGAAAUGUGCCAAACAGGGGAAAAACGGCUGAAGGUCAGCUAAAAGUCUCAAUGAUGAAGCUGAUGGUGGAAAAGUGGGGAUAAAGUAAGUGGGCAUAUGACCACCCUAAAUGCAACCAUGCAUGCCCAGAGGGAUAUUAGCAUAUGUUAAUGUGUUCUUGGAAAAGAAUGAAUACGUAUGUCAGUGUACUGCAUAUGCAUGUCUUAACUAUUUAACUGUAGAACCUGAACUCUGAGAGAGUGCGCUUGUUCGUCAAGUUGUCCAAUUCAUAUCAUGAGGAAUAAAGGAAAGGCACUUUCUAACACUACAUUGGAGUUAGAGGGUUUUCUUCCCAGAUAUUGGAUGACAAGGUAUCUACCUUGAGGAAAGAUAUUAUGAAGACCUACUUACAGAUGCUCUAGUUUUUUGGCCAUAUUUUGAUAAUUAGCAUGGAAACCAUGGACCUGAUUUGAGCUAAGCUGUUUGAUCACGUUUUGGAUGACAAGCUGCCCUUUAGCUUGUGUAAAUACGUGAUAUAACUCAUCACCAUUUUCAGUAUAAACCAGCAAGUUCAUCUAAACAUAUCAGUUUUGGUGAAGCCAAAUGUCUUUAUUGCCUAGGGUGAUUUUUUUUAAACUUAUUUCUAAAACUGUGGGAUUUCCAAUUAAAAAAAAAAAUCCCAAAUGUAUUUAUGAAUAAAAAAGGAUAAACACAGUGAUUGCGGAUGCACAUUUUAAUUAACUGGAAAAUCUCUUCUUCUUUUUGUU